CAGCCGCCGCGGGAAUACGAAGGGGGCUAGCGUUGUUCGGAAUUACUGGGCGUAAAGGGCGCGUAGGCGGCCAUUCAAGUUAGAUGUGAAAGCCCUGGGCUCAACCUAGGAAUUGCAUUUGAUACUGUUUGGCUUGAGUUCGGGAGAGGUGAGUGGAAUUCCCAGUGUAGAGGUGAAAUUCGUAGAUAUUGGGAAGAACACCGGUGGCGAAGGCGGCGACCUGGUCCUUGACUGACGCUGAGGCGCGAAAGCGUGGGGAGCAAACAGGAUUAGAUACCCCAGUAGUCCCUGUCUCUUAUAC
rnacentral:rRNA from 1 species